rnacentral:rRNA from 1 species
GAUGAACGCUGGCGGCGUGCCUAAUACAUGCAAGUCGAGCGAACAGACGAGGAGCUUGCUCCUCUGACGUUAGCGGCGGACGGGUGAGUAACACGUGGAUAACCUACCUAUAAGACUGGGAUAACUUCGGGAAACCGGAGCUAAUACCGGAUAAUAUAUUGAACCGCAUGGUUCAAUAGUGAAAGACGGUUUUGCUGUCACUUAUAGAUGGAUCCGCGCCGCAUUAGCUAGUUGGUAAGGUAACGGCUUACCAAGGCGACGAUGCGUAGCCGACCUGAGAGGGUGAUCGGCCACACUGGAACUGAGACACGGUCCAGACUCCUACGGGAGGCAGUAGGGAAUCUUCCGCAAUGGGCGAAAGCCUGACGGAGCAACGCCGCGUGAGUGAUGAAGGUCUUCGGAUCGUAAAACUCUGUUAUUAGGGAAGAACAAAUGUGUAAGUAACUAUGCACGUCUUGACGGUACCUAAUCAGAAAGCCACGGCUAACUACGUG